rnacentral:rRNA from 1 species
UACGUAGGGAGCAAGCGUUAUCCGGAUUCAUUGGGCGUAAAGCGUGUGUAGGCGGUUAAUUAAGUCAGUUGUGAAAUGCUGGGGCUCAACCCCAGCCUGCAAUUGAUACUGGUUAACUUGAGUAGAGUAGAGGCAAAUGGAAUUCCUAGUGUAGCGGUGGAAUGCGUAGAUAUUAGGAGGAACACCAGUGGCGAAGGCGAUUUGCUGGGCUCUCACUGACGCUGAGACACGAAAGCGUGGGUAGCAAAUAGG